GCUCCAGGCUCUGGACUGUCAGCACAGAGCCCAAUUUGGGGCUCGAACCCACGAACCGUGAGAUCAUGACCUGAGGCAAAGUUGGAUACCUAACUGACAGCCACCCAGGCACCCCCCACUACGACUUCCUUAUCACUGCUCUGGGCCCACUCAACCCCUGCGGUAACUUACACAACAAGCUUCCACCUUAGAGCCUGUAUGUUUGCUGUUCCCUUUCCUGGAGUCCAUUGCCCUAGAUGUCACACAGUCUAUCCCUGAUCUCCUCCAAAUCUUUGCUCCAGAUUUUCUCAACAGCCCUUUUUUGACUACCCUAUCAAAAGAGCCUGCUGCCUCCAUGGCACACCCUAUCUCCCUUCUCAGCUUCAUUUUUUUUUCCAUAAUACCACCAUCUAAAUAUUUUACUUAUUAUAUGUCUUUCUCUAGAAGGUAAACUCCAUGAAAGUAGGAAUUUGGAGGUGGGGGGAAGAGGAGAUAAACUAUUGAAGCAUAACAAAAAGAAAAGUGCACAAAUGGCAAGUAAACAGCGUGGUGAUCGAGGGCAGCAAUGUUUGCAUCUUAUUCGGUGCUGUGUCCUCAGCACAGGAGAUACUCAAAUAUGUAAUAAAUGGUUGUGCUGGAUGUACAUGUCUUAAUGAGGCUAGCGUUGAAAAUAAAGUUGAGGGAUACGUAAAGUGUGAGGUGUUAUAACUUAAAAAUCUUUACCUAUUUUUAAUAAACAUGAAGUAAAAGUAGGGAAGUAUUAAAAUACCAGCUUCAGAAUGGUAGUUUCCUCUGGAGCUACAGGGGAGAGGGUAGGAAGGAAUACAAUAAAGCUUAAAGCAUCAUUUCUCUUUUUUAAAAGCAAACAUGGCAAAAUACUAACGUGUUAAAGGAUGUUGCAUAUGUCAUAUGUGCAACUCUGAAUGUUCAAACUCUUUUAAAGUCUGCCUCCUUGCUUUUAUCCGGUCCCUCCUCCCCUAAAGCUUGGUUCCCCUCAGGGUAUGAGCCUGUUUGACCUGUACAUCAAACAUUUAGGAGGAUUUAGGAGAAGGAAAAUAGACAUUCCUUUUCUCAAGGGUGAAAAGCUGAUCCAACCCUAAGAAUGAAAAAAGGUUCUUGGCACUGUCAAGAUCAAGCAAAGUCAUUUCCACUCCCUGUAAAUGCCUCUUUAGGGACCAGUUAAAAAGAAGGGGGGGGGGGGGAGGGCAAGGGAGCAGAGAACUUCCUGUAGAUCCAGAACCCAAGUGAUUAUUUGCAGGAGUUGGUGGGAGGAGAAAACUGAUUUUUGAUCAUACAUUUCAGUAAAAACCUUGUUAUUUUGGAAAAACACUCCUUUGAACAGUUUUUGGACACAUUUUAGUGGAUAAAGGAACCAAGAAUUUGGACCUGAAGUAUACAUGGUAUUUUACUGCACUAUGAACAGAUAAGUAUUAAUUAUGAUUAACAGGGUUUUUGUUACACUGUAUGCAUUAAGAAACUAGCAAUUAGCAUUUGCUCUUGAAUUUUAGUGCUUGUUUUCAGAAGAGUUAUCACAGGAUUUUGACAGGAACUUUUCUGUUGGCUGGGAGUUGCUGAUAAAACCCCAAAGGCAAAAUCUCGUGUUCUUCUGCAUUCUAAAGGGUACCACAAGGCUCGGACACCCUGUCCCACAGGAGACUCUAGGAGGUUUAAGAUUCACACAACCUCUUGCUCUUGGGCCUCCACUGACAUGUUACCAUAUAACAAGGUUCAGAUCCAGAGGAGAGGGGCCUUAUAGUCCUGGGGUGAAGGCCUCUGCCCUUUCCAUAGGAUGGGGAGGGGUGGGGGGGACUCCGACACCAAGAGAAUAACUGAAGAUACUGGAGACGUCAGAAAUCCUUGGAGCUUGGUGGCUCCAUCUCCAGCAAACCACAGGCCCCCUUCUUGGGAGAGCUUGCCGUGUACCUACCUCUGAAGAAUGUAUAUGCGGUGGUGAGGGGGUGGGGAGGAACAAAACACAGGCAGGGGCGAAACGAGAUUUCUGAAGGAGGGGCGGCUGCUGCUGGAGUAGCCCCUACCAGCAGAUCAUGAAGCCCUCUAAGGGUCCGAGUUCAUGUUGUGCCUAGGAAGCAAGGGAUAAGGCCACUCCAACUGUUUUCUUUGCUGCCAAAGAUCCCAAGGCAGGAUUUCACUAGACGCUGAAGUGGGUGACUAUAUAAAUUGACCAUUGAAACCAAGACCCUUGAGAAUGAAUGGGGAGCUAACCAAACAAGAAGCUGGGGGCGGUUCUCGAAAACCGCGACAAACCUUUUCUCUGUGCCUGGGGGUCUCAGAAGAGGGAAGGAAAAUAGGAUGGCAGGAGCCAUAGGGCUGUGACCCAGUGACUGCCGCACCAAGCUAGGGGAUGACCCAUCUGGCAAGGGGUUAAAAAAAAAUGCAAGCACUGCAUGGGGCCAAAGAGAUGAGAGACCGCCCGCCGUGAAUGAACACUUGGGAUUGGGGCGAAGUUGAAUGCCGCGCCCAGACAGGUGCGCAUCUCCCGAUGGGGGCAGGCCACCGGCCCCCAAACAGGACCUAACGCGGCAAACGGGCAUCUUCUUUCUCCUUCGCUCUCCCCUCACCCAUGCGCGGAGCAGGCAGGGCAUUCGGCCAUCUGAGAGUAAGGUAUGAGUUUGGAGUUUUAAACAGGGCUAGACUGUAAGUUUCAAUAUCCAUUAGUAAGCACAAAUUGGCUUUCCCUCAGGUUAAGCAUCUUAAAAGGGGAUGUGACAGCGUGGCGGCGUUGAGAAGGCAGGUUAGAAGGGUUUGUACCACCAAAUUUCGAAUUAGUAAUAGGAAGAGCUAAGUGUGCCCUUUUAAAGAGGUGAAAGGAGGCCCACUUGCGUCCCCUCACAUUUUACGGGCGCUAAGUGGGAAGCGGGGCGAGUACGCGCACCAAGAGGGCCUCCGCCUGCCGAGACGCGUGGCGCGGCUGGACUACAUUCCCCGAAAGCCUUGGCGUCGGCGCACUUAUGCCACCGUGUCUGACGUCAUCCGCCGCUGACACCGGCACACCCAGUUCCAGUCUGCGUCGGCGUGGCCAUCGCGUUGUGUGCGCGGAGUGCAAAGGAGCAAGGGCGUUCGCGACCUGUGCCCAGCGUCCUGCUCCCGGGGCCAGGCUACCCUCUUCCAGUGGCCGCCACCAGCCACGGGAGUCCCAUGACCAGAAAACCCCAGGCCAGGCCCCGCCCCUUUUCUCCCCGCGCUUCGCCCUGAUAGCAUGACCAUUUCCGAUCAUGUGACCUACCCGACAAAAUGGGGAUAAGUUCAACCAAAUGGGAUUGUGUAGCAGGAAGAGGAGAUGAUUACACCAUCACUUCUGCCAUACUGUACUGGUUAGAAGCGAAUCAGCCCACAUUCAUGGGGUGUGAACACCAGGACGCACAGUUGUUGUAGGGGGACUUCAGAGGCUGUCUACUACAAUGACAUCAUUAUUAACUCUACUUUAUAGAAAGAGCUGACCCUACUCAAAAGAGAAUAUUGCAAGAGUAACAGUGUGUGAUUUCCAAGACUGGGUGAUAAAAGACAUUGCAACAUCCUCCCUGCCGUCUCUUGGGUCACCAACCUUAAGGGAAGCCAGCUGUCACGGUGUGAAGAUGCUGAAGCAGACCUAUGGAGAGGUCUAAGAGGAAAUGAGACCUCCUGCCAACAGUUAGCACCAAUUUUCCAGCCGUGUAAGUGAACCAUCUUGAAUGAUGCUCAAACCCUAGUCAAGCCUUCAGAUGACAUCAGCCCCAGCGACAUCUUAACUGCAUUCUCAUGAUAGAUCCCAAGCCAAAACCACUCAGUCAAGCCAUUCCCAAAUUCCUGACCCACAGGAACUAUGUAGGAUAAUAAAUGUUUAUUUUGUUUUAAGUCAUUAGGAUUUUUGAUAAUUUGUUACACAGGAAUGGAUAAACCGAUACUUACUUUAUUGUCGUUGUUCUCUUUCACCUUUUAUUUUUUUAAGCAAGCUCUAUGCCCAACGUGGGGCUUGAACUCACCACCCUGUGAUCAGGAGUCAGACUCUCUACCAACUGAGCCAGCCAGGUGGCCUGAUACUUACUUUUUAAAUUUAGCUAUAACAUUUGUGGAUUCAUUCAGGUUUCUUUGUGUUUGUCUAGUUUAGAAGUCAGUAAAGUUUUACUGUCAAGAGCUGCCUGUAAAUAUUCUAGGCUUUGCAGGCCAUAUGGUCUCUGUUGCAGCAACUCAAGUCUGCUGAUGUAGUGCAAAAGCAGCCACAGACAAUAUAUAAAUGAAUGAGUAUGGCUGUAUUUCUAAUAAAACUUCAUGGAUGCUGAAA